rnacentral:rRNA from 1 species
GGUUAAGCGACUAAGCGUACACGGUGGAUGCCCUGGCAGUCAGAGGCGAUGAAGGACGUGCUAAUCUGCGAAAAGCGUCGGUAAGGUGAUAUGAACCGUUAUAACCGGCGAUGUCCGAAUGGGGAAACCCAGUGCAAUUCGUUGCACUAUCGUUAACUGAAUACAUAGGUUAACGAGGCGAACCGGGGGAACUGAAACAUCUAAGUACCCCGAGGAAAAGAAAUCAACCGAGAUUCCCCCAGUAGCGGCGAGCGAACGGGGAGCAGCCCAGAGUCUGAAUCAGCUUGUGUGUUAGUGGAACGGUCUGGAAAGUCCGACGGUACAGGGUGAUAGUCCCGUACACCAAAAUGCACAGGUUGUGAACUCGAAGAGUAGGGCGGGACACGUGGUAUCCUGUCUGAAUAUGGGGGGACCAUCCUCCAAGGCUAAAUACUCCUGACUGACCGAUAGUGAACCAGUACCGUGAGGGAAAGGCGAAAAGAACCCCGGCGAGGGAGUGAAAAAGAACCUGAAACCGUGUACGUACAAGCAGUGGGAGCACCUUCGGGUGUGACUGCGUACCUUUUGUAUAAUGGGUCAGCGACUUAUAUUCUGUAGCAAGGUUAACCGUAUAGGGGAGCCGCAGGGAAACCGAGUCUUAACUGGGCGUUAAGUUGCAGGGUAUAGACCCGAAACCCGGUGAUCUAGCCAUGGGCAGGUUGAAGGUUGGGUAACACUAACUGGAGGACCGAACCGACUAAUGUUGAAAAAUUAGCGGAUGACUUGUGGCUGGGGGUGAAAGGCCAAUCAAACCGGGAGAUAGCUGGUUCUCCCCGAAAGCUAUUUAGGUAGCGCCUCGUGAACUCAUCUUCGGGGGUAGAGCACUGUUUCGGCUAGGGGGUCAUCCCGACUUACCAACCCGAUGCAAACUACGAAUACCGAAGAAUGUUAUCACGGGAGACACACGGCGGGUGCUAACGUCCGUCGUGAAGAGGGAAACAACCCAGACCGCCAGCUAAGGUCCCAAAGUCAUGGUUAAGUGGGAAACGAUGUGGGAAGGCACAGACAGCCAGGAUGUUGGCUUAGAAGCAGCCAUCAUUUAAAGAAAGCGUAAUAGCUCACUGGUCGAGUCGGCCUGCGCGGAAGAUGUAACGGGGCUAAACCAUGCACCGAAGCUGCGGCAGCGACACUAUGUGUUGUUGGGUAGGGGAGCGUUCUGUAAGCCUGCGAAGGUGACCUGUGAGGGUUGCUGGAGGUAUCAGAAGUGCGAAUGCUGACAUAAGUAACGAUAAAGCGGGUGAAAAGCCCGCUCGCCGGAAGACCAAGGGUUCCUGUCCAACGUUAAUCGGGGCAGGGUGAGUCGACCCCUAAGGCGAGGCCGAAAGGCGUAGUCGAUGGGAAACAGGUUAAUAUUCCUGUACUUGGUGUUACUGCGAAGGGGGGACGGAGAAGGCUAUGUUAGCCGGGCGACGGUUGUCCCGGUUUAAGCAUGUAGGCUGGUUAUCCAGGCAAAUCCGGAUAAUCAAGGCUGAGGUGUGAUGACGAGGCACUACGGUGCUGAAGUAACAAAUGCCCUGCUUCCAGGAAAAGCCUCUAAGCAUCAGGUAACAUCAAAUCGUACCCCAAACCGACACAGGUGGUCAGGUAGAGAAUACCAAGGCGCUUGAGAGAACUCGGGUGAAGGAACUAGGCAAAAUGGUGCCGUAACUUCGGGAGAAGGCACGCUGGUGUGUAGGUGAAGUCCCUGCGGAUGGAGCUGAGACCAGUCGAAGAUACCAGCUGGCUGCAACUGUUUAUUAAAAACACAGCACUGUGCAAACACGAAAGUGGACGUAUACGGUGUGACGCCUGCCCGGUGCCGGAAGGUUAAUUGAUGGGGUUAUCCGUAAGGAGAAGCUCUUGAUCGAAGCCCCGGUAAACGGCGGCCGUAACUAUAACGGUCCUAAGGUAGCGAAAUUCCUUGUCGGGUAAGUUCCGACCUGCACGAAUGGCGUAAUGAUGGCCAGGCUGUCUCCACCCGAGACUCAGUGAAAUUGAACUCGCUGUGAAGAUGCAGUGUACCCGCGGCAAGACGGAAAGACCCCGUGAACCUUUACUAUAGCUUGACACUGAACAUUGAGCCUUGAUGUGUAGGAUAGGUGGGAGGCUUUGAAGCGUGGACGCCAGUCUGCGUGGAGCCAACCUUGAAAUACCACCCUUUAAUGUUUGAUGUUCUAACGUUGGCCCCUGACCGGGGUUGCGGACAGUGUCUGGUGGGUAGUUUGACUGGGGCGGUCUCCUCCCAAAGCGUAACGGAGGAGCACGAAGGUUAGCUAAUCCUGGUCGGACAUCAGGAGGUUAGUGCAAUGGCAUAAGCUAGCUUGACUGCGAGCGUGACGGCGCGAGCAGGUGCGAAAGCAGGUCAUAGUGAUCCGGUGGUUCUGAAUGGAAGGGCCAUCGCUCAACGGAUAAAAGGUACUCCGGGGAUAACAGGCUGAUACCGCCCAAGAGUUCAUAUCGACGGCGGUGUUUGGCACCUCGAUGUCGGCUCAUCACAUCCUGGGGCUGAAGUAGGUCCCAAGGGUAUGGCUGUUCGCCAUUUAAAGUGGUACGCGAGCUGGGUUUAGAACGUCGUGAGACAGUUCGGUCCCUAUCUGCCGUGGGCGCUGGAGAAUUGAGGGGGCUGCUCCUAGUACGAGAGGACCGGAGUGGACGCAUCACUGGUGUUCGGGUUGUCAUGCCAAUGGCACUGCCCGGUAGCUAAAUGCGGAAGAGAUAAGUGCUGAAAGCAUCUAAGCACGAAACUUGCCCCGAGAUGAGUUCUCCCUGAGACUUUAAGUCUCCUGAAGGAACGUUAAAGACGAUGACGUUGAUAGGCCGGGUGUGUAAGCGCAGCGAUGCGUUGAGCUAACCGGUACUAAUGAACCGUGAGGCUUAACCUU